rnacentral:rRNA from 1 species
UGGGGAAUUUUGGACAAUGGGCGCAAGCCUGAUCCAGCCAUGCCGCGUGCGGGAAGAAGGCCUUCGGGUUGUAAACCGCUUUUGUCAGGGAAGAAAUCUUCUGAGUUAAUACCUCGGGAGGAUGACGGUACCUGAAGAAUAAGCACCGGCUAACUACGUGCCAGCAGCCGCGGUAAUACGUAGGGUGCAAGCGUUAAUCGGAAUUACUGGGCGUAAAGCGUGCGCAGGCGGUUUUGUAAGACAGAGGUGAAAUCCCCGGGCUCAACCUGGGAACUGCCUUUGUGACUGCAAGGCUUGAGUGCGGCAGAGGGGGAUGGAAUUCCGCGUGUAGCAGUGAAAUGCGUAGAUAUGCGGAGGAACACCGAUGGCGAAGGCAAUCCCCUGGGCCUGCACUGACGCUCAUGCACGAAAGCGUGGGGAGCAAACAGGAUUAGAUACCCUGGUAGUCCACGCCCUAAACGAUGUCAACUGGUUGUUGGGAAGGUUCCUUCUCAGUAACGUAGCUAACGCGUGAAGUUGNCCGCCUGGGGAGUACGGCCGCAAGGUUGAAACUUAAAUGAAUUGACGGGGU